UUAAAACAUUACAUAAGAGCUGAUUUUAUUAUUAUUAUAAAUAAAGCUCUUAAAACAGUUUCUGGUCAGCAGUAAGAACUCAAUAAAUGUUAACGGUUAUUAUUAGUCAUGUAACUACCAAGAUAAUCCAUAAACUGUAUUAGUCAUCCUGUUAAGAAGCAAGGCCUGGUUUGUUUCUUCCUUUUAUUAUACAAUUUUACUGCUUCUAAUUUAAACUCUUGCCUCCCUAAGUUCAAUUCAGGAAGAGAGUCAGGAUGAAAGGACUGGAAGGACAGACGAGAGUGCUGAUGGAAACAAAACUACUCAAAUAGUAGGGGGGGGAGAGAGAGAGAGAGAGAGAGAAAGAGAGAGAGAGAGAGAGAGAGACUUUGUCAGCUAAAAAUUAACUAGACUGUCAGCUCCUGCGUCUUUUGCAUCCAUCUCGGAACCUGGAAAAAAAUAUUUGCAGUGGUCCUCAUGUCCGCAGCAGGCCUUGCUCCGAUGGUUUUGCAGAGCAGGAAGUGAAAAUUUCCAAAAGGCGGGAUAAAAGAAGAAACAGAGAUAGAUAAGCUAGCACAGGAACAAGGCGCAGAGCAGGAAAGUUACCAGGACAGAACAGGGAGGGACUGACUGUCGCAGGGCAGGGAGCAGGAGGAGGAAAGAAGCCACUUUUCAGUGAAAGGCAUUUGUAAUUACAAGAAAGCCAGGUUCUUCAGGGCCCUAGAGGAACAGAAAUACAAUUCCCUGGCUUCUGGGGAGAGCACUUAGGGGCUCCUAUAUCCCCAUCUUUUUGAAUUUUCCCUUCUCAAACGCCAGAAUUUGGAAAAAGAUGGGGAGGGUCUUUAAAUUAUUUGGCAUAAACUCCAAAAAAGUGGAGAAACUGUGAACCAGCAACCCUCGACUAGGUUUUGCUGUGAUGGUUGCUGAAAUCACUUGCUCACAGGAUGACAGGAGCUGGGAACCUCAAGGUAGGUGAGGCUGCCAAGAUGCGAGUACCGGACUCGGCUGGGGCGCAGAUGGAGCCCGCCCGGUAGGGGGCGUGCGGGGCCGUGUUUCCUGGGUUCCGGAGCCCGGCCCGGCCCGGCCCGGCCCAGCCCAGCCCAGCCGCGCCGAGCCGAGCCGAGCCGCGCGGCCAGUGUGUGUCCUUGCUCCUCGAGCGGCCUUGAGCAGUGCCCAGCGUUGAGGGUGAGGCUCGUGCUCCGGGUCUCGCGGACGGCCGCCUCGGGCGUCGGGUCCCGGAGAUUGGACAGACACCAGAGCCCGAGGACCGCGGAGUGGCCGGGUGGGGCUGGAGGGCGGCGCCGCGCCUUCUGGGGAGACACGGAGGUAUCAGAUGUGGAGGUUAAGGAGAAAAUGGUGCAAGGUCACCAGAAGAUGAUCCCCACGUAUGAGGGCUCAACCAGGGUAGAGUUGUUCUAGAUCUGGAUAGCAGAACAGCUUGCUUGACCGUGAGACAGUACACUUGAAGUUAAAGGAAAUUCUUCCAUGAAGAAGUUGACUGUGGCCAGUAAGUGCCUUCAUUUCCCUAUCAAGUAAAACAGCCUUGUAAGCACUCUUAAGACUGGGACCAGGAUUUAUUCAUCCUUGCCUGGCACAGUAUUGAUCAACUGUACAAAGAUGUAUUCUCCAGGAAUAUUCAUUGCCUCACAUUUAUUCACCAGGAAUUCAGAUACAACUACAUAAUUUGAAAUACAUAGAUAUUGUUUUGGCCUCACAUUUACUUGGCAAUAAAUAUUUCUUGAGCACUGUGCUAAAUCUUGGGAGUACAAACUAGAAUACGACCUAUUUCCUGAACCCGGGAUGCUGUCUUGGUAUAUUGUUGUUUCCAGAUUUAUACCAAAAUUAACACAAUUUUUACCUUUUUAAAAUCCACAGCGGGUGUAAAUAUAAACCAUAGAGAAAUACUUUAAGAUGAUUACUUCUGUUAUCUUCUCAUCUUUAUUUUUUAAAGCUCUGAUGAACACAGCAUAUAAGCACAUUCGUUCAUUAAAUUCUUUAGAAACCUUCAACCCCACAGUUGGAGUGGGACAGAGUCCAGCUGCGCUCCCCGGGGCUCCAUCCCUUGUAGAGAAUGACUUGCUUUAGGGAGGGCACAGUGCAGCCCUUGGGAGAGGGUUGUCUAGCUAGACCUGUGCUGCUGCUGUAUCCUUGAACCUUAAUGGCUUGGCUUUGGACUGCUUGCCGAUUCUUGCACACUGAAGGGAAGGAAGACUGACAGCCCAUUUGACUGCCUUUUGAGUUUUCCACUGUGUCUUCAACUUAUUCAAAUACCUUUCCUGAAGAAAGCAGAUUUCAUGGACAACUCCGUUUGCUUCUGGACUAUUGAGACACUGGCAGAUAUGAUUUAAGGAUCUGAGGACGGAAACAUUUAAAAAUACAUGACACUAAUUUGCAGUGCAGUUUACAUCUUCGUCUCGGAUUUUACAUUGUCUCUGGAACCUACAGCAGUCAUUUGAAUUAUCCAUCAUUCACAAAGCCAGCUUUGUCUGAUUUUUGUGGCAUCCAUUUGUUCUUGUCUUUCUUUUCUUCCUUUCCACUAUAUUCCCACGAUCACUGACACAACUGCUGGUUGUGCCCUGUUUGAAUUUGGCACUUGCAUCCCUUUUUACUAAAUGUCUCAAUGUCAAAUCCCAAAGUGAAAUUUUUCUUCCUUUGCUGAAGCCUUUGAGGAAAAGUUACUGUUUUGCGUGCAGUUUGUAGAAAUGCUUAAUUGGAGAUUGUCAGAGUUUCACUGGAGGGUAUUGCAUCUCAUAGUGAAAUAGUUGCUGUUGAUUUUUCUGAGCUCAAGUGCUCUAAAAACAGACGAGCUGUUUUUAAGUUAUCAUUAUCCGUGAGAAGUAAUGUAUAAUUCAUUACUGGACCAUUUAUCUUUCAGUAUUUCCCUUAUUAUAUCUUAAUGGUUUUCCAUAUGCAUAUUACAUCAUGUCUGAGUUUACUCUUUUAUGAUUGUAAAAACCAUCCGUCUUAUAGGGUAUUGCGGUUGCAUUAUACAGAAAAAAAUGUGCAAAUGUGUAUUUCAGUAAUUAAAAAAUACCUUUAAUGCUGCAUUUAUUUUAUGCAUUUACAUAAGACUGCUAUGCCAAUGCCUCUGACCUAGUGGAAAAUAUUUCCAUCUUUGGUAAAUCUUUACCUAAAAUAUUUCUGGUAGGUUUUAGGAAUUCCAACAUUUCAAAAUAAAAGAGUCUUUGGUAGUUAAUAAGAAAUUAGAGAUAAGAAAACCUGGAGUAUGCCAUGAGAGCUUAUGAAAAGUGAGAGAGAUGAAAUCAAGAAACGUAAGGUGGAGAGCUGUUUUAAAAUAUGCUUUCCUAUUAAUUCAACCAUCAUUCAGCCAACAUCUGCUAAGUGCUCAUCAGGUACAGUGAGAGAGACUGGGGACACACACAUCAAGACAAAGCUCCUACCUUUAAAAAUACUGUUUUAGAAGAAAACACUGUCUUGUGAUGGUACUUUUUCUUUAGGGUUUUAUAGCCCUUUUUUUGUACUCUUGGAACUGCCUUUGCAUAACAUUUUUUAAUAAGGAAGUAACUUGAAGAAAACCAGUUAUUUUAGGAUUAUGGAAAACUGGGGGCUUGGUAACAGCAAAUCUUUCCUUUCAGGAUGCUACUGACCCCUCAUAUUUACAUCAUAUGUCAAUAAGCAGGAUCAAUUUUUGCCUGAAUUAAUUAUGAACUUGGAAUAGCAAAGACAAUUGUACAUUGGGUAAAGGAAAUAUAUGAUUUGUUUUAAAAUGAGACCUUUGCCAUUGGAAGGAAAUAAUUCUUGGAGAUCACCGGGAAUAGGGAAAUCUGUCACCACUGCUGUAUUUUCCUUACUUGUCUGUUACCAUAUAGUAAUUUACUUUUUGUCAGCAUGAUUAAGUAUAUGGAUUACCACUCUAAUAUGCCAAUGGUUGAAAUGUAAAGUACAGUGACAACUCAUUAAGAUAGAGAGGGUUGCCAGGAAGUACCUCCAAAUGAAUGAGAAUAUAUCUACAACUUCUAUAUUUGGAUAAUGUACUGUAAAAUAAUAUUUUACUCAUACAUUUUUUCAACUUUGAUUAAUUCAUUGUUAAAUUUAAAUUUUAAAAAGUAAAAUACACUUUGUGUUUUUCUUCUAGUUCCUCAGCUUCUGAUAUGGUUUGGCUUUGUGUCCCCAACCAAAUGGCAUGUCGAAUUAUAAUCCCCACAUGUGUCCAGGAAGGGACCUGGUGGGAGGUGAUUGGAUCACUGGGGUGAUUUCUCCCAUACUGUUCUCUUGAUAGUGAGGGAGUUCUCAUAUACUGUUCUCUAACUGUUCUCUUGAUAGUGAGGGAGAUCCGGUUGUUUGAUAAGUGUCUGGUGUUUCCCCCUUCUCUCCUUUUCUCUCUCUCCUCCCACCAUGUAAGACAUGUCUUGCUUCCUCUUUGCCUUCCACCAUGAUUGUAAGUUUCUUGAGCCCUCCCCAGCCACGUGGAAAUGUGAGUCAAUUAAACCUCCUUUGUUUAUAAAUUACUCACAUAGCAUCUUUACAGCGGCGUAAAAACGGACUGAGACAACUACUGUAUGGAAAGAAGCUAGAUUAUUUUCUGUUCUUUUUUUUUUUUUGAUACAAAAUCUUGCUCUGUCACUCAAGCUGGAGUGCACUGGUGCUAUCUGAACUCACUGCAGACUCUACCUCCCAGGCGAUCCUCCCACCUCAGCCACCUGAGUAGCUGGGACUACAGUUAUGAACCACCAUACCUGGCUAAUUUUUUUUUUUUUUUUUUUUUUUUUUGUAGAGAUGGAUUCUUUCUAUAUUUCCCCAGGCUGGUCUCUAAUUCCUGGGCUCAAGCAAUCCGCCUGCUUUGGUCAGCCUAUUUGAUUUUUUAUUAUCUCUCAGAGAUAAACUAUGUUCCUGCUAACUGCUACAAAAGUAAAAUCACCUAUAAGUUAAUUAUUGUAGUCACCUUAAUAGCCCCCAGCCAUACCGCUAAGGCUAGACCUUAAAGACAAUACCUUAAAGGCUAAUUAUACAAGGCGGUGUUUAUGUAAGUG
rnacentral:lncRNA from 1 species